AGCGAACGCUGGCGGCAGGCCUAACACAUGCAAGUCGAACGAACUCUUCGGAGUUAGUGGCGGACGGGUGAGUAACACGUGGGAACGUGCCUUUAGGUUCGGAAUAACUCAGGGAAACUUGUGCUAAUACCGAAUGUGCCCUUCGGGGGAAAGAUUUAUCGCCUUUAGAGCGGCCCGCGUCUGAUUAGCUAGUUGGUGAGGUAAAGGCUCACCAAGGCUACGAUCAGUAGCUGGUCUGAGAGGAUGACCAGCCUCAUUGGGACUGAGACACGGCCCAAACUCCUACGGGAGGCAGCAGUGGGGAAUCUUGCGCAAUGGGCGAAAGCCUGACGCAGCCAUGCCGCGUGGAUGAUGAAGGUCUUAGGAUUGUAAAAUCCUUUCACCGGUGAAGAUAAUGACUGUAGCCGGAGAAGAAGCCCCGGCUAACUUCGUGCCAGCCGCCGCCGUAACAC
rnacentral:rRNA from 1 species